AGUGAACGCUGGCGGUAGGCCUAACACAUGCAAGUCGAACGGCAGCACAGUAAGAUCUUGCUCUUACGGGUGGCGAGUGGCGGACGGGUGAGGAAUACAUCGGAAUCUACUUUUUCGUGGGGGAUAACGUAGGGAAACUUACGCUAAUACCGCAUACGACCUACGGGUGAAAGCAGGGGAUCUUCGGGCCUUUCGCGAUUGACUGAGCCGAUGUCGGUUUAGCUAGUUGGCGGGGUAAAGGCCCACCAAGGCGACGAUCCGUAGCUGGUCUGAGUGGAUGAUCAGCCACACUGGAACGGAGACACGGUCCAGACUCCUACGGGAGGAAGCAGUGGGGAAUAUUGGACAAUGGGGGCAAGCCUGAUCCAGCCAUACCGCGUGGGUGAAGAAGGCCUUCGGGUGGUAAAGCCCUUUUGUUGGGAAAGAAAAGCAGCAGGUUAAGACCCCGCUGUUCUGACGGUACCCAAAGAAUAAGCACCGGCUAACUUCGUG
rnacentral:rRNA from 1 species